GUUCCCUCCCGGGCGCACGGCGGCGGAGGGACGAAGCCCGAGGCCGCAUGGAGGGCGGGGAGACGGACUCUGCCGGGUCUCAGCAGAAGGAACUUGGCCUUCUGAGGCGGGGCCGGGAGGCAGGAGCUGCUCCGGAGAGGAGCGGCGGGGACGGCGGCCUCAGACAGGAGCUGCUCCCGCGAGGUGCGCCCUGGCUUAGGAGCGGGAUCCUCGGGUUGGAGGCAGGACCGGUUCACUCCCGAAGGAGACCGGCCCUCAAGACCCAGCAAGGCAGCUCCCGUCUGCGGUGAAGUCCGAGAGGGACUGAGGGGUCAGUAUUUCCCUUGGCUCUUUCUCUUUUGCUGUCUAAGAGGCGAAUGCCACGAGUGGGGGAAGUAACAGAACUCUGCCUUCCCGGAUCUUACUUUUCUGUGGUGGUUUGAAUAUACUUGGUCCAUGGGAAGUGGUACCAUUAGGAGGUCUGGCCUUGUUGGAGGAAGUGAGUCACUGUAGGAGUGGAUUUUGAGGUUCUAUGCUCAAGCUCCGAUAAGUCCAGAAGAGAGGCUCCUUCCGGCUGUGUUUGGAUCAAGAUGUAGAACCCUCAGCUCCUCCUCCAGCAUCAUGUCUGCCUGCCUGGAUGCUACCAUGCUUCCUGCCAAAAUGAUAAUGGACUGAACCUCUGAAACUAUAAGCCAGUCCCAACUAAAUUCGUCCUUUAUAAGAGUUGGCUUGGUCAUGGUAUCUCCUUACAGAAAUGGAAACCCUUACUAAGACAUGUUGGUGGAGAUGGUGAUUAGCCACUAGACUGACUGUGAUGAAUGGAUCAAGCAGCAAAAGGACUCUACCUGUGCAUGUGCACCUGGCUCCAGUGCGGUUCCAGAGAAGAGUUCAACUGUGCACACUGAGACCGGCACUGGCCUCUGCAUCCCCUCCCAGCCUCCCAACAGCCACUGCGUUUUACUUUUCUUGUGUGUGUGUGUGUGUGUGUGUGUGUGUGUGUGUGUGUGUGCACCCACUGAGGCCAGAAGAGGGUAUCGAAGCACCUGGGGCUAGAGUUGUAGGCAUCUGUGAUUCACCCAACAUGGCUUCGAACAGUACCCUGAUCCUUCAUAAGAACAGUAACCAUUAACUGUGGAGCAGGCGUCUCAGACCUGCUCGCUCACUGUGCUUUAAAGUCCCUAGUUUCUUUUUUUUUUUUUGGUUCUUUUUUUUCGGAGCUGGGGACUGAACCCAGGGCCUUGCGCUUCCUAGGUAAGUGCUCUACCACUGAGCUAAAUCCCCGGCCCCGCCUAGUUUCUUUCUUCACAAGGAAGGUUUCAUAUCUUUCUCACCCCUCCAACUUCAGUGCUCACCUGUCCUUAAUCUUCAUUGGUGAUUUUUUGACCUCAUUCCACCCUCCCCCUUACCGCCCACCAAAAGGCCAUGAGCCCAAACACUCUGCCACCAGAACAGCUUCUCUCCCCACUCAGAGAUCAUCUGUGAGGUAAUGUGCGAGGUCGGGUCUAAUGCCUCCCCUAGCUGUCUACUCUUUCUGCCAGGACAUGCUUUCCCACAGUUCAUUUCUGUGACCCUGGCCUCUGUACUGUUGUCACUGGGUAUGGUGCCCUUCAGGAAGACGUGGGGCUGACUGUCUCUUCAGGAUGUAUAGUUAGAUUGGAGAUAUACAAGUCUCUUCCAGCAGGCUGCCCCAAUUUUAAAACCGGAAUCACUGUGUGGGAUAGAAAAGGCCAUCUCUUGGCUCUGAGUGGGCUUGGAGCUCCCUUGUGGCCACCUUCUUUGCCAGAGGCUUUCUGGCAGCCCUAAGAGCUCGCUUCCCUGCAGGUCAGCGUGGUACCAGCCUGACUGUGCGAUCACCCCCAGAGGGCAUGUGUGAGAGAUAAAACUGACUGUCCUCAAAGGCGCUUUGAGCCAACUUAGGUCCAGCUACAAAAAUUAGGAAACACCAGCCCUCUGUCUGUGCCUUCUCUAGUUAUUCCCCACCCAAACUAGAAGUCGAGAGCAGAGACUUACAGCCAAGCUUUCCUGCGUCUGAGGAGGAUGUAAAAAAUGUAGAUGAAAGCACACCAUUUUUGCUGGGAAAAAAGGCAAACAUAAAGGUCAGAGGGAGAGGCGAGAUGGAGAUGGUGUGUAAGAUGUCUGUCCUGACUGUUAGGAGAGGGAGGAAGGGGCCAUCUUGGAGAUAUUGCACUUGGCACACUUGGUACUCCAGGCUGAUGCCCAACUUGACAAAGGCAUCAACCUCUGUCCUCGGGGCUCUUAUUGUGAAGUGAGGAUAACCAUUUCUCACACUCCUGUGGUAGGAGUGGAUUCUACCCCAGCUGUGCUCUGCUGGGCUUCAGAGGACCUUCAUUCAGUGACAUUGGUACCACAAGAAGCAGUCAACGCUGUCAGACAAGCUCAGCAAAGCACCCUCAUGGUCUCUCCUCACUUCCCGGUCUUGUUUUCUCCAUUUCUCCAUUUGUUGGCUGUACCUAAAAAGCAAACUUUCUAACUCCAGUCCUUGACCCAGAUCAUUUCUCAUUUGUUCAGUUCCCUUCUGAGUCUCACUGGGCACAUUGGUCAUGGAAGGUAAGCCAUGCCCAGUAGUAGGUGGCCAACAGAAAAUGAAUUUUUUGGAAAUGCUAUUUUUGGAGAUAUUUUUUGUCUCAAAUUGCUUUGACCACUUUUUUGUCUCAUUAGUCUUUUGCUUGUAUAUUUUGGUUUCCAUGUGUGUUUUUCUGGUUUUUGUUGUUGUUGUUGUUGUUUUGUUGUUUUGUUUUUUUAAGAGAGAGAGACAGGUAGGUAGAGAGAUGGGAACAAUCCGGGAGGGGAGAAUGGUCAUCAGAAUAUACUCUUAAGAAACACAGAGUUGAGUAGAUGGAAUGAGGGUGGAUCUGGAAGAAGUUGAGGAAAGCGACAGAGUAUGACCGAAAUGCAGUACACAAAAUUUUCAAGAAUUGUAAAUAAAGAAUUUACAAAGAGAACCUCAAAUUAAGACAACAUUGAAAAUUGGGUUCUUUGGGAAGGAUAGUAUCUGAAUACUGUUGUAUUCAUGAGUUCCAGAGUAGCCAGGACAACAUAGUAAAGACAAAAUUUCAAAAGGAGGAGGAGUGAGUCCUCUGUUGUGAUGGAUGGAUACUCUUCCAUGGGCCCUCAGUAUGAGGUAUUGUUAGGAGGUGGUGAAAGGUCGGAGGCAGGGGCUGGUGGGAGGAUUUAUUGUGGCGUGGCGUAUCUCUGCAAUUAUAUUUCAUGGUGGCCACUUUUCGUUUGCUACAACUUUCUCUGCUUCCUGUCAGGCAGGAUAUGUGAACAGCUGUCUCUACCCAUGUCCCUGUUGCCAUGGUUUUCUACCCAAGCACAUGGGUAUAGGAUGGUCUGAAACUGUAGGCUAAGACAGCCUCUGUUCCCUGAGUUGUUCUUUCUCACACUGGGUCAUAGAAAUGAAAAAUAACCAAUACAAAAGUUUCCGUGUAGCUGGAAUCCCUGAGACCCUAGGCCGCUGUUCCUGCCCUCUUACGACUGUGUCUGUAUCAGAAAAUCUUGAAACCCGAAGCUGGAAGUGUACCUCAGCCCACGUUCAGAAUGCUCACCUUGAAUGAAGAAGACCUGGGCCGGAAAACCAGUACCACAGAAAGCGGGUGUGGAGUUGUGCUCCUGUAACCUUGCAACCUGAUUACAGGCACAGUUCUGGUUUACCCUCGACUACACAGUGAAGUUGAGGCCAGUCUGAGCUAAAAAGAAUGAUAUCACAAACCGUUUAAUACCAUCAGGCUCCAUUUUCUCUCCAGCCACUGCCUCAGUCAGUGGUUCUCAGUAUAUCAGCUUCCUCCCAGUGCAACCAGUACUCUGUACCUCGGUCCCACCUAAGUCGCCACUCACUACCCACUUCAGGUUGGUCCACUAUGUUCUCUCCGAACUGGCAUUGGUAAAUAAUAAUGAUAAUAAUAAUAAUAACAAUAAGAAUAAAAGUAGUAAUGGCUUUAGUCAUAAUUUCACUAAUGAAUAACUGAAACACAAUUUUAAAAAGACUAAUUUAAUCUCUGAUUUUCUAUGAUUACUGUAUUUUUAACUUUUUUGCAUUUAUGUAUGUCUCGUGUUUGUAUGCCUUGCGUGUGUAUGUGUGCACGCGCGCAUAUGUGGAGGUCAGAGGACAACUUGUGAGAGUCAGUUCUCUCCUUCCAUGAGUCCCGGGGCUGUCAGGCUUCCUGGCAGACACCUCUACCUGCUGAGCCAUUUUGUGAGCCUCACAUUGAUUUUUUGAAAGGAUUCUUUUGUUGGUCAGCCUUUUGUCUCCGAGAAUCAACCCAAGUCAGCUUAUACAGAGGAAGGAUUUACUUUGUAUCCUAGUGUGAGGAGGAGAGGGCUUAUUUCCUCUUACAGCUCAGGAUUCCAUCUUUGAAAGAAGCCAGGGCAGGAGCUGAAAGCCCGAACCUGGAGUCAGGAACUGAUGCAGACACCACUGUUAACUCUGAUUACAGGAGUGCCCACUUGGCUCUUGAAAAAAUAUAACCCAGGACCACCUGUCCAGUGGUGGCACCACUCAGUGGGCAGAACCCUCUUACAGAAAUCAUUAAUCAAGAAAAUACCCUACAGACUUUCCUACAGGGAAACCUGAUGAAGGAAUUUUCUUAGGUUCCUCUUCCCAGAUGACUCUAGUCAAGUUGUGCCGAAUGGACAGAAAACUGAACACGCUUUGGUCGUGAUUUUCCUUGCUCUGGGGCUUGUGGCAAUCAGUGUAUCCUGGUGGUAGCAUGUGGCAGAGGGAGCUGUUUAAGUUAUGGUGUCACAAAACAGGGGGGAGAGAGAGAGAGAGAGAGAGAGAGAGAGAGAGAGAGAGAGAGAGAGAGAGACAGACACACAGACACACACAGACACAGACACACACACACACACACACACACACACACACACACACACACAAGUCCCAAUGCCCUCAAUACCCAUUCAAGCCUCCAACUAGGCCAUACUUCUAGAGGUCCUACAAUGGCACCAUAGGCUGCUAAUCAAACCUUUCUAUGUGCACCAUACAGGACCAUAAGUGCACCAAACCAUCACAGAUGUAAGUCUCUCAUAAGCCCAUGUCUCUUCCACCCAAGGACAUCGUGGUUCAGACCCCUCAGCAGGUUGGGCAGAAUCAAUAGAAUAUUAGUAAAGACUACAAUAUUCUAUUGAAGUACAGUUGGGGAGAAUCCCUUUUAGCCUCGUUGAGGGUAUUUUUGGUAAGAGGACAGAUCUGGAAGCCGGACCACAUCUGAAUGUAGUACAGAACUGAAUAUGCACUGAACGGAAUUCUCAGGACAGACAGCACUGUUCUGAGCCACAGCAGCUAGCACUGACUUAUCUUACUUUAAUAUCUGUUAGGGUUUAAAUCUUGGCCUGUGCCGGACAGAACACACCCAGACAACAUGGUUCCACAUGGAGAGGUUUAGUGAGAGAAGAGGAGGAGAGGAGAGGAAUAGAGGCCAGCAAUGGGCACAUAGUGGGAAGAGGGAAGGGGGCAAGAACAGAGAAGAACAAAGAGUAAGAGGGAGGUAAGAGAGGAGGGGGCAAGCAGCCCCUUUAUAGUUAGGCAUAGCUGACUGUUGCUAGGCAACUGUGGGGCGGAGCAUACUUGGCUGUUCCCAGGUAGCUGUGGGGGUGGAGCUUAGACAGAAUGCCAACAAUAUCCACUAUGUAAAAAAUUUGAGGGCAUCUGUGUGUACAGUAAAAGUUAUAGUUCUUAUGUCACAAAGGUAAUUUUGAAACUUAAUGUAUCUGAAGUGUACACUAAGAAAACAGUAAGCAAAAAGAUGCUUACAUCUCACUUAAAGUGGAAAAACUUAUUUCAUUUUUAAAUUAUCUAACCUAUUUGGUAAACAGCUUAGUUACAACCAGAUAGAUGGAAAUACAUGGAAACAACAUACAACGUACAAAAUCCUCUAUGGAGGCUGUAGUUGCAUUUUUGAGAAUUCUGAAAAUUUGGCUUCUUUAAAAAACAUGAAAAUGUUGUUAAGAAUGUGCUUUCAUUUUAAUCCCAAGUGUAGGGAUGCAGGGCUGCAGCAGCUGACUAUGAUUUGCCUCGUGCUCUAGCAGAGGCGUGGUUGCGUCAGCUGCAGACAGUUUCUGAGAUUGUGUGAUGUUUGGAAUCCUGAGGACUUUUCAGAGGAUAUAUAAAUCAUAAAUACAAGGGCACCAAGAGGUGUGGGGGGGGUGUUUGUUGACCAUUUAGGGAGGCUGGUUGUUUUUUGUUAGUAGCUGUGGUCAAAGAAGAAACAAAUGGAAAGAAAUUAGAUUCAGGAUUCUCGUUCCCCUCCCUCCCUGUUCUUCUCCUAUCUAGUGUUAGGGUGUAAAACCAGGGGGUGGAGGUGGGAAUAAAGGGUAGGAAAAAGAAGAACCCACAAAGUAGCAAAGACUCUUCCAUUUAAAAGCUAAAGUUUUUUCUUCCCUAGACGGAAUAAUUUUGAUUCUACUGAACUUUUUUAUUUUUAUCCACAUAAAUUGAAACCCCAUUGGCUAGCAGGCAGAUGUAGCCUUGUACUGAUUCAAUCUGACAUGUCCUUCCACCAGGCCAGGACAGACUUCCUGCUGCAGGCUGUUCUAGGCCUCAUUUAUAAGUGUUCUAGUUUUUAGACACAAGGAACACUAUUUCUUGCUGCAGUGUUACCAUUCUCAGUAGUGCUUCCUUGAAAACCCUAAAAAAGGAUAACUUCAAAAUCAUUCUAAAUAAGAACAUAAGCUCUCUCUCUCUCUCUCUCUCUCUCUCUCUCUCUCUUUCUCUCUCUCUGUCUCUCCCCCCCCCCACCCGAGAGGGAACAGUGAAACAGUGUGACAUUUUGGAUUAUAGAAAGAUUCUUUCUUCUGCUACAUUAAAUAUUGGUGACUUCCUAACUACUUACCAACAACAUUUGUUACCAGACUCCCUAGCCUACUAUCUGUAAACUUUGGGGGUAACUUCAAAAAUUAAAAUUUAUCUUUUUCAUGAGAAUUUCAUAUAUGAGUACUCUAUUUAUAUCAUGUCCACUACCCUUUCCCUCUAACUCUCAUCCUAAAAACAAAGUACGACUUCUUUAUUAUUGUUACACACACACACACACACACACACACACACACACACACAUGAAUGCACACGCGCACAUGGACACACACGCACACACACAUCUACCUUACUGAGUCUGUUUGGUGUUGCUCCUACGUACAUGUUUAGGGCUGACCACUUGGGACUGGACAACCAAUCAGAGGGCUUGUUCAUUGAGAAAACUGGUUCUCUGUCUUUGAGGAGCAUUGAUUGCCUGUAGCUCCUUACCUAGCAUGUGCCCUGUUACAUUUCUUCCCUUUACACUUUGUAUCCACUGGUGGUGUCAUUGUGCAGAUCUUGUUUAGGUAACCAUGUAGCUGAAGCUUCUCUGUCAUGUCUAGAAGAUGCUAUCUAGCAGCAGGCAUCCUGAUCCUCUGGCUCCUUCAAUUAUUCUGAGCUCUCUUCUGUAAUGUUCCCUGAGGCUUUAGGUAGGGCUUGUGUUGCAGAUGCAUCAGUCGGGCCUGGAUGCCACAGGUCAGUUGUUUUCUGCAUUUUGACAAGUUACCGAUCUAUGAUUGUUUCUGUUAAAAGUGAGUAGCUUAGUCCUAGAUGAAACUUGAAGAGGUUGUACUUUAUUUCGAACUUCUGAAUCUGUAUUUUCUAUGUCGGGCACUAUUAAACUGGUGAUGUUAUUGUCUGUAGUCUUUGAGAACCCCACUUAGAGCAGGCAUCUGAAUCAUGACCACUGAAGAGUCAUACUUUUAUAGUUAUGAACAACUGAACCAAGCAUGCUAGUCUUGUUUAUUUUUUGUGGUGAAAGGGAUCAAACUCAGGACUUGAACAUGCGAGGCAAACCAUCAACACUAAGCUAUACCCCAGGCCCAAGUAAAGAACACUUGAAGAAAACUGCUUAUCUUUGCACUAUAGUAAAUUUUGGAGGAGUAAAGCUGAUCAGCUUGACUGGUGCACAGACCUAACCAUUAAAAUACUUGCUGAUUAAGUCCUGUGUUUGCAAUUCUCACACAUAAAUGUAGAUUGAACUAGGCACGCCUCAUUUCAGAACACAUGUGUGUUGGUUUCUUACCUUAUGCUAGUUCCUGUUCUUACAGAGUUUGUGUCUUAGAAGAAAGGUACCAUAAACCAUGUGUCUCUUGUCUUUUCAAUAAUGUAGAUGAACCCAGGGGAUAAAACAAGACAGUCACAGAAAGACAAAUGCUGUCUACUCUAAAAAACAUUGAAUUUGUGCAGGUCAAGCACAGGACUGCAGUCUGCACAUCUGGUAGUGGUUAGAAUAAAUCGUUACGGAGGAAGCAAACGUGCUUUUUCCCUUGCUUGGCCUUCGCUCUUGCAGGUGAACUCUGUGGCUACCCUGGUGGUUCUGCCCAUUCUGGUGAGGGCCCUAAAUGAGUGUGUUACAGAGAAGAGAGGAUGCACCGGUGUGGAAUAGACUGUGGCACAGAUUACAUCUCCGCCUGGGAAGCAGAACGAGGGUGGCAGGGACCAGGCUUGAAUACUUCUGGUAAUAUCUCAUCAGGCCUUAAGGGGUCACACAGGACCAACCAGGGUUGGGAGGGGUUAUUUCACACCACUAAUAACCUAUAGACUACCCAGAUGCCUCAUUCCCUAAAGGUUUCAUCAUCUCCCAGUGUUAACAACUGGGAACCAAGCCUUUUAUAUCAACUAUGUAGCUCUCCCUCCUGCCUUCCCUUUCUCCCUCCCUAUUUCUCUCCCCACUCUUUCCUUUUUUUCUUUCUUCUUUCUUUUACUGUGACUUAUUGGAUUUAACUAGGGUUGCUUACAAGAACGUGAAUAGAAGAGCAUUAUUUACCUUACCUGUGGUUAAACCAGAAGAGAAAAUACCUCUCUCUCUGCUAGCAAUCAUUAAUUCCUCAGGAAGGGUGGGGCCUCAUCCUCUUCCCCUCCAUCGCAACAGUUAUUGGACUCAAUGAAAUCUUUGGCAGGUCUCAUGCUGCUGUUCAGAGCUGCUGAGAACGGGAGUGUAAGGAGUGCGUCAUACUUGCAAGAAAGUACCCCACAGCACUCCACCUCUAUGCUCUCAACCCCUCUUCUGUGAUGUUCCCUGAGCAGUCUUGGUGGAGGAGAUACAGGCAUCCCACUUAGGUUUCAGCUUUCAAGUCAUUUAUUAUGAGUCUCUGCAGUAAUCACCAUCCACCACAAAGAGAAGCUUCUCUGACCAAAGGUGACAGUAGCCCUGACCUAUGGGCAGAAGCAUAAAUACUUACAAGGCAAUUUAAGCAUAAAUACUUAGAAGGCAAUUUGACAGGGACAUCAUGUUCAGUUAGUAAAACAGCACCAAUAGCUGGGUGUGGUGGCACACGCCUUUAAUCGUAGGACUUGGGCGGCAAAGGCAAGUAGAUCACUGUAAAAUCUAGGCCACUCUGGUCUACACAAUGAGUUCUAGGCCACCCUAGAUUACACAGUGAGACCCUAUCUCUAAAGGAGACAUUAAAAAUGAACAACAGCAGCAGCAACGUCAGCAGUAGUUUUGCUACGACAUCCCUAGCCAUGAGUUUUUGAUUAGGUUUACCUUGCCAGACAGGAAUUCUCUCCUGUGUAGCAGGGCCUCAGAUCCAAUCAGAAAGCAACUGCUUAUCCACAGUAUGUGCUUGCCACUAUUGCAACAGAGUAACUUUUAUUCUUUCAAGUCCCAGCUUUCACAGCACAGCAGGGAGUCUGUGCUUAUUGUAACAGUUACUCUUCACAUCGCCUUUGAUACAUCUCUGCACUCUCCACUAAUAUUUAUUGGUCAUAAUUCUAGAUACUUUUUGUGACUUGGUGUCAACAUAAUGAUCCACAAUUCACUGAUUGGAUGUCUGUUUUAUUCUGAGCCUGUGGUUCUAAACACAUAAACCCAUGAUGGUUCUAGUCUCUGGUAAAGAUGAUCUGGCUCAGAGAAAGGCGGUAGAUAGACUAAAACCCCUCUCUUUCCUGAAUGCUGCCAGGCUGCUCUGGUGCCUCUGAAACCAUGGGUUUGCUGCGCUGUAUGCGGCCUGCCAUUAUUCUGUUUUAGAUGAUGGUAAUUUCCUUUCGUAGAGGCACAUCUCUUCUGUUUCUUUCCUUUUUCUUUCUUUUUCUCAUGGCAACUUUUUGAUUACAAAAAUGCCAGAAUGAGGAAACUUCUUUUCUCCUGCUCUCUGCUCAGUGCCUCCUGUCUAGUUGCCAGGGGAGGCAGAUAAGCCUUAAGUGCAAUACUAAUUUAAUAUCCUGGGCUAGAUCAGGCCUAUGAUGUUCAUGGCAUCUCUUUGGCACUAGUGAAGUCUUCCAGCCUUGUGCAGACUUUUUAUCAGGCCCAUAGAUGUUCCAAGGUUGAGGUUACUGGGGGCUGAGCUUCAGAGGUGAAAGUUUAGUCAUGGUUUCUGAGGAACAGAGAAAGCAGUGAGGCAUAUUUAAGAUGGUUCUAAUUUUGGAAAAGUCUUUACCAUGAGUAAGGCUGGUUAUUUGUCAUUUAUCUGAACAGCUUCUGCUAUUUACUCCUGGUGCUUAGAAAGAACUGGUGGAGGUACAGGCCGAAGGAAGUCUUGCAGUUCUCUCCUGUCCAUCCCCCCUCAGCCUCUCUGGUUAUCAGUGCCUCUCAGUGCUAGGAUUUUGACCUGCCUCUUCAUUGUGUGACUGUGAUGGAUCAGGCCUGACUCAAUCUUAAGGAUGGAAGCCAUUUUGUUAUAAGGUCAGAACAAGUUCAUUUCUGUUUGCCACAAAAUUCAAGCUGACCAUACUUUAAUCUACUUCUGGAAUUUGACAUGCUCCCCACCCUAUGGAGUUUGACUCAUACCUUGAAUACACCCUGAUAAGAUGUUCUGCCAAAUAAUUUAAAAAUUCUUCCAUAACCAAAAUUCCUCUGGAAAUCCCUAACCCUUGAAAACUCUUAGUCUUGCAGUUUUUUGGACUAUAAAAAUUCUAACAUUUCCUGUGUUCUAUGCUAUAUUUUCAAACUGUGCUUUAGGGAAAUAGCUCCAGUCUGAUAGAAAAUAAAGGUUGCUUAAUUUGAA